AUCAGAGACUCACCUCAGUAGCAGAACAACGGAGCGGCUGAGAAGCUGGGUUUCUGAAAUCACCCAUUCAUGAUGUCCAUAAUCCUGCCCACUCUUUUAAGGGGAACAUCAAAUAAAAGCUGGAAGCCAAGAGGUCUGUGAGAAAGCCCUCCUGUUGAGGACCGCAGGAAAAACCAACCGCGGAGGAUGUCAUUUUGGGAUUGGCCCUUCGGAGGGAAGAGCACUGCUUUAAACAAACAGCCAAACAGGAUUCCAGUGAUGCAUUUGGAUGGCUUGCUUCCCUGCAUUGUGUCUAGAGCCUCGAAUGGAGCAGACGCUUAGCUCCAACGUGGCUGUAGUGGCUUCAUCCUCACGACUUCGGGUCUUUUAACUGGAAGACUUUGGAUAACCGUCUCGUGGGCUUAUUCGCUGGCAGUUACAAAUCAGUCUGGUGGAAUCGUGUUCAGCUCACCCUGGGACACCCUUCCGGGGACUGGGAGAGCAGGACCCCAAGCUGAAAGGAAUUGAAAGCCGUGAGGAGCCAGAAGGAAAUCCAGGGAGGUCAGACGCCAAGGCUUACAUUUCCUCUGGGCAGGAUUUUAGAUUGGAGGAGUCUGAGCUGGCAUACCAUACAUGGAUUGAACUCAGCUUUGUCAAGCUUGGUGGCAGUCACCUUUAUCUGCUGAGCCAGCUCAUCAGCCCAUGAUCUAUCUACCUUUGUAAAAAUAUGAAAAGGAGAAAACUGGAGCUGAAGAUGUGACUUAUAGGUUAAAAGCACUUGCCACUCUUUCAGAGGACCCAGGUGCAGUUCCUGUCACACACAUGGUGACUCACGACCAUCUGUAACCCCAGCUUCAGAGGGUCUGAUACCCACUUCUGGCCUCCACGAACACCAGGCACACACAUGGUGCACAUACACACAUGCAAGCAAAGCAUUAAUAUGUAUAAAAUAAAAAUUAAUAAAUCCUUGUUAAAAAUCUUUCAUUUUGCUGAUGGGAUAUACUUGUAUUUUACUAGCAUUUUUUUUGUAAAAUUAAAAAAUAUUAGAUUGUAAUACAAAAGAUGAAUAAACCCCCUUUGGUUGUUCUUUAUAUGAGUGCUUUGGUACUCAAGGACCUACCCAUUACUAUUAAAUAAAUGUUUACAAAUGUUUUUAAAGUAAAAAAAAAAAAAU
rnacentral:lncRNA from 1 species